rnacentral:rRNA from 1 species
UUACACAUGCAAGUCGAACGGCAGCACGGACUUCGGUCUGGUGGCGAGUGGCGAACGGGUGAGUAAUACAUCGGAACGUGCCUAGUAGUGGGGGAUAACUACUCCAAAGAGUGGCUAAUACCGCAUGAGAUCUACGGAUGAAAGCAGGGGAUCGCAAGACCUUGUGCUACUAGAGCGGCUGAUGGCAGAUUAGGUAGUUGGUGGGAUAAAAGCUUACCAAGCCGACGAUCUGUAUCUGGUCUGAGAGGACGAUCAGCCACACUGGGACUGAGACACGGCCCAGACUCCUACGGGAGGCAGCAGUGGGGAAUUUUGGACAAUGGGCGCAAGCCUGAUCCAGCAAUGCCGCGUGCAGGAUGAAGGCCUUCGGGUUGUAAACUGCUUUUGUACGGAACGAAAAGCUUUGGGCUAAUACCCUGGAGUCAUGACGGUACCGUAAGAAUAAGCACCGGCUAACUACGUGCCAGCANNNNCGGGUAAUAAAAAAUAAA